ACAGCAGCCGCCACGGUAAUACAGAGGGUGCAAGCGUUAAUCGGAAUUACUGGGCGUAAAGCGCGCGUAGGUGGUUUGUUAAGUUGGAUGUGAAAGCCCCGGGCUCAACCUGGGAACUGCAUCCAAAACUGGCAAGCUAGAGUACGGUAGAGGGUGGUGGAAUUUCCUGUGUAGCGGUGAAAUGCGUAGAUAUAGGAAGGAACACCAGUGGCGAAGGCGACCACCUGGACUGAUACUGACACUGAGGUGCGAAAGCGUGGGGAGCAAACAGGAUUAGAUACCCCCGUAGUCCCUGUCUCUUAUAC
rnacentral:rRNA from 1 species